UGCCAUUAAAGAUCCACAGCGUGGGGGGUUUUAAGUGUUUCACUGAACUGCAGUUAGGGGCACUGAGAUGGCCAAAAGGAGCUUAGAACAAAAAGUCAUUCUGCUGACAGAAGGAUCUUCCUUGCAGGAGAAAGAAAACCAUACCACAACCAUUCAAAUAUGAUGCAAAUGCACCUUAGGAAUGUUUCCUGCACAGAGUAUCCUUUACAGUGCUUCUAAACAUAGGACAAGGGAACUGUGCUCAACAACAGUGGCACUUGUGCUUCUGAGAAAUUCAGAAAUCCCAGCUCCUGUUACUGGUUAUACCGUAGGUUCUACUGACAGCUCCCUUCGUGGUGACUCAUGAAGUUUCAUGACCUGAGUUUCAGGUACUCUCUCACAAACUCCAAAGUUCAGCUAUUUCCCAUCCCAUUUUGCUGCAUUUUUGUUAUGCCCACUCAUGCCUCAUGCCUUUCCCACAAGGACACACUCCUCCUCACACUGAAAUUCAGAGUUAUCUGCUUUGAAAGUGCCUUAUGCAAACCAGUGCAGGAUGCUGGCACUGCCUCUUCAGGACUUUGAUUGACCCCCAAAGUGCUCAGGACUGUAAGAGUCACCAAUUGAUGAAUAAACCCAGAUAAUUUUAAGGGACCCCACAGACUGCUGGGUAAUUAUUCAAGCUGAAAAGAGAUACAAAAAUUUAAUUUUACCACAGUACAAUAUUGCUAUGGUUUAUCAAUAAAAGA